rnacentral:rRNA from 1 species
GAUGAACGCUGGCGGCGUGCCUAAUACAUGCAAGUCGAGCGAACAGAUAAGGAGCUUGCUCCUUUGACGUUAGCGGCGGACGGGUGAGUAACACGUGGGUAACCUACCUAUAAGACUGGGAUAACUUCGGGAAACCGGAGCUAAUACCGGAUAACAUUUGGAACCGCAUGGUUCUAAAGUGAAAGAUGGUUUUGCUAUCACUUAUAGAUGGACCCGCGCCGUAUUAGCUAGUUGGUAAGGUAACGGCUUACCAAGGCGACGAUACGUAGCCGACCUGAGAGGGUGAUCGGCCACACUGGAACUGAGACACGGUCCAGACUCCUACGGGAGGCAGCAGUAGGGAAUCUUCCGCAAUGGGCGAAAGCCUGACGGAGCAACGCCGCGUGAGUGAUGAAGGGUUUCGGCUCGUAAAACUCUGUUAUUAGGGAAGAACAAACGUGUAAGUAACUGUGCACGUCUUGACGGUACCUAAUCAGAAAGUCACGGCUAACUACGUG